UCUCCCGGUGACGUCACAAGGUAGCGCGCAUUCGAGAACGCCACGGCGCUAAGGCGGUGGCUGCUAGACAGCUCUGAGGGCGAGCCGUCUCCCGGAGGAGACGUGGGCGAGGGGUCGUGUUUUGUCUCCUGAGGCACUUGACCCGAAUGACCGUUAGGAAUGAAAGCGAAUGCGAAGUUCACACACUGCACCGGUUCUCUGGGACUAAAGGCCAAGGAGGGCGUUCGCUUGACUCCGGGACGUCAGUCCAGGAAUGUCGGAUUGCGCAUCCUAUUGUAAAAUGUACUUACUGCAGAUCAGAGUUUCAACAAGAGAGCAAAACUAAUACAAUUUGUAAGAAGUGUGCUCAAAAUGUGAAGCAGUUUGGCACGCCUAAGCCUUGCCAGUACUGUAACAUAAUUGCAGCAUUUAUUGGUACGAAAUGUCAGCGUUGCACAAAUUCAGAAAAGAAAUAUGGACCACCUCAGACCUGUGAACAGUGCAAACAACAAUGUGCUUUUGAUCGGAAGGAGGAAGGAAGAAGGAAGGUUGAUGGAAAGUUAUUAUGCUGGCUCUGUACUUUAUCAUACAAAAGAGUUUUACAGAAGACAAAAGAACAAAGGAAGAGCCUGGGAUCUUCCCAUUCAAAUUCAUCAUCUUCAUCUCUUACUGAGAAAGACCAGCAUCAUUCAAAACAUCAUCAUCACCAUCAUCACCAUCACCAUCGUCACAGCAGUGGCCAUCACAAAAUCAGCAAUCUGAGUCCAGAACAAGAGCAGGGACUGUGGAAACAGAGCCAUAAAUCCUCUGCAGCAAUUCAGAAUGAAACUCCAAAGAAAAAGCCCAAAUUGGAAUCUAAGCCAUCUAAUGGAGAUAGUAGCUCUAUAAAUCAGUCAGCAGAUAGUGGGGGAACAGACAAUUUUGUCCUUAUAAGUCAACUGAAAGAAGAAGUGAUGUCACUUAAACGUCUCUUACAGCAGAGAGACCAGACCAUUUUAGAAAAAGAUAAAAAGUUAACUGAACUAAAGGCAGACUUUCAGUACCAAGAGUCAAACUUGAGAACAAAGAUGAACAGUAUGGAAAAAGCUCACAAAGAAACUGUGGAACAACUUCAGUUAUUAAUGUUGAAUGAUUACCUGGGAACAAAAUCUUCUGUAUGAUGAUCUCUGAUCUGAUUUAAUGUGGUAUAACCAAAACUCUGGAGUUAAUCCAGAAUGAAGUAACAGAAAAACUGCCAAAAACAGAGAACUACUCAAACAGGUUGCUGCAUUGUCAAAGGGUAAAAAGUUUGACAAAAGUGGAAGUAUACUAACAUCCCCUUGAGAAAGUUAUUGAUUUAAUGUUUCUGCUGAAAAUGUAAAUUUGAAAAAAUUUCAGUAAAGCCCUUAAAUUCUGUGUAGUGAAAAAAUAUUUUUGCACACCAAAUGAAUUGGCAUAUUUCCUAUUCACUUUUGUAACUGAUAAGCAUUUUUAAGUUGUAAAACAUCCAAAUAAAACUUCAACUGGUUUGAAGUAACUUUAUAUUAUUUGAUAUCCAGGAACUUUUUUGCCAGCAAUAGUAUUAAACAGUUGUAAAGGAGUGCAUGAGUAGUGCUUUUUAUAAAAUGUAACAUGCAAUAAUAGAGUAGGUAUGGUUUUAAGAAAUCAUAGCAGCAGGGUUUUGUUUUGUUUUUUUGUUUUACACCAUGCUAAUUUCAAAUAAACAGUUUUCAAUUUAGAAAUACAAAAGCUUUUAAACAAGGAAAAUGGUGAACACUGUUUUUUUUUUGGUGAUUGUUUUUUCACUUUGCAUCAACAUUAAUUUAGGAAUCAUGGUGCUUUUAUUAAAUGAACUUCAGAGAAUAUGUAAAUAUGUUUUUAAAUUUACAUAAUUAACAUUAGUUAGUAUACUAGUAUUUUCAUUAUCGGUAUAGGAAUUAAUGUUUAUUGUACAGUACCCAAGGUAAAAUGUGUUUUGUUUUGUAUAAACUGUGGAUUUUUACUUACAAGUGCCUUUUUGCCACCUAAUGUUUUUAUUUAUAGGAAUGUUGAUCUUUUGUACAUAGUUGUUUUAAAAUCAUGUUUAAUAAAUGUUUGUAUAUAAAUGCAUAUGUAUAGGAGCCUAUUUCAAAAGGAAAUCAAACUUGCUAGUAAAAUGUUUGAGGUUGCAUUAAGAACUGAUUAUGCAUAUAAACUUUAGAUGAUUUUGUGGUUUGUUUCUGUGUAAUAUGGGAAGUUGUUGGUCAUUGAAUUCAUUGAAUUAGUCAAAAUACUUCCCAAAGAUUUAAUUUUAAAUCACUUCUGAUAGAGUAAUUUUAUUUUUAUGUGAUAUGGCUUCAUGUUCAUAUUUUAUAAGUUACAUGUUUUGAUUUAUUUUUCUUUUAUAAAAAAUUUAAAAAUUUAUAAUUUUUCUGCAGUGGUCCAUAUAUAUGCUUUCCUUAUAAUAUGUGGUUAUCUAAGUUAAUAUUUAUGUACACCAUACUUAAUUUGUAAUUUUAAAGCAAAUCUGGAAAAAAUUAAAUAACUUUUAAAUCAAUCUGUGACUAUCUUUGAAUAAAUUGGAAUCUUGUUUAAGAUUCAGGUACUAUUUAUAAGAAAAGUAUAUAAGAGUCUUUAAAUUGUCUAUAAAAGGUUAAGGUAGGGUGGGAUAGGUUAUGGGAAGUUAUUGACUAAUUAUAUUCUGAUCCAUCUGUUUUCAGCCUGUAAUGGAAUUGAUGGCCUACUUAAUAUAUGCCAGUUCAGACUUGUAUUUAAAUUUUAAAGCAUCAGGCAUUGCUAGAUAUAUUGGAUAGAGUGGAAGAGUUCUUUCUCUUAGGAAUUUAUGAGCAGGGUAAAUUUGUUUGAAGUAAACUGAUUAUUAAAUUUGUCAAUUUUGGAAAGUUUUGUUUUUAAGCAAGCAAUGAUUAUGAAUCUCAUCAAAGGUCAUCUUUUCUCAGAACACAGGAUAAUUGUAAUUGUAAUAUGAUUCAUGUUUCAGUAGAUUAUUCCUAUGGUCUAUAAAGUAAUAUAAAAUAAUUCCUUGCCAAAUUUGAAAACAUAAUCUAGGGUAAUUUUCAAGUGAUAGCAAAAAACUGAAUCUGUAAGACUUGGAAGAACUAAACCAGUUUAUUUUUAUGAGAUCCUUAUAUGUAAUGUUCUUCAUAAAUUUCAGUACUUUGAACAAUGGUAGAUACUGCCUCCUUAUCACAGAUUUUAAUAUUUUAUAUUCUGAUUAUAGUCAUUUGACAAUCCACUGUGGUUAUUAUGGUUUUAAAUUAAGAUGUGUAGUAGUUCUUACACCUUUUUUGGAGCUGCUGCAAAGGAAAGGUGCCCCUUCCCACUUUUUUAGGUAACAUUGAAAAUUGAAAAUCAAUCUAAAUAAUUAAACUUUGCUAAAAUCUUUUAGGGGUUUCACAGUAUUUAGCACUAAUUAAAUGCCCUCUCUUUAUCCCAUGACUUUAUUUUAUCACUUAAAAUUAUUUCAAUUGUAUUAGCAAUUGGAGUCCCAGUCCCGGAUCUAUAGCGUAUUGACAUAAUGAGCUGAUAUUCUUUAAAUGUGGACCCGUAAGGAGAUACUAUGGUGUGCUGUAUUGUGCUUUUUAGCCUGUUUUCAGCUAUUAGCAUUUACCAGUGUGGAUCAUUUUGGCUCAAGCUAUUUAUGUAUUAAUAGCCUGUGAAUAUUACAGUCCUUUUUAGAUUGUAUUGGUCUAAAUAUGCAUUCUGAGGUGAACCUGUUAAGCUGUUCACAUGUAUAGACUUAAAAUACUGUACUUGUACACAUCCAACUGUUGACAUUUUGUACUUUUUUUCUAAAUCUAAUAUUUCACAAUAAAACUUGUCAAAAGCUUUG